GCAGUUGAAAUUCUAAAGUUGUUCUCACCAUAGAUGCAAAGGCUGAGGUUCUGCCAGUGACCUUUUCUAGGGCUCAUUUAGAACCCAGGACUGGUGCCUUUUCUAGGGCACUCAAUAAACAAUGCUGCAGGAACUAGUCAGGCAUCUGUGGGCAUGCCACCAAGGACAAAGGACUCUACAUCUGUUGUUGAAGUGAAUUUGUUUUGGCUUAUCUUCAGUGACAUUUCCAAUUUAACAUUUACACAGCCAUUCUGUGGAAACAUAAGGUAUUUCAAAUAUGUAUUGAGAAAUUGCUUUGUUCUGCU